CUCACCCAAUCCCCAUUCUCAUCUUCUUCACUCGUGCCCUAGCCUCCAUCUCUUCUCACCGACGCCGACUGCCCAAGCCUCAAUCCAGCCAUUGUUCUUUCAUCCCUAGCCGCGGAUACUCGCCGGAAAACCAGGCACAGCAAGCUCUCGAUCCGCCAUCGUCGACAGUCGAGCGGUGUUCUUUGUACCUCUUGGUGCUGAGCCCUCACGACUCCACCGCACGUUGAUGUCGUUGCCGAUCUUGUGUUCCGAUUUCCACUCUACCUCAUUCUCCUCUUCCGACUCGAGCCACUUGCGGAGUGAUCCCGGUGUCCCGGUCCAGUGCUAGACCUCUCCCUCGCGCGUCUCUGCCGACUUCAUUGCUGCAAGCUCUGCUGGGUUGUGCCCUAGCUUUGGUUAACUCCGUGUCGCUACAACCACCAGUCCGGUGAAGAUCAUAUGUUCGAUGAAACGCUUAAUUCCUCUUGCUGUCGCUGUUCGUGUCGUCAAUGCUGUCAAUGGCCUCCACUUCAGUGAGUAGUUGUUGGAUUGAUGAACAACCUUGGAGAAGAAGAUGGAGCCAUAGGAGGGACAGUGAUUUCAUCUUCGCUAGCAGAGAGUUAUACCAGCUAUAAGUCAUUGGCGGAGCCAUCA